GGGAUGCCGUGAGCACUGUCACCUCGUGGUGCCGGAGGGAGGUUGUCCGUGGUGAGUUCGCAUUGUUUAAUGAUGC
rnacentral:miRNA from 1 species